AGACUUUGAUUAUGGCUCAGAGUGAACGCUGGCGGUAGGCCUAACACAUGCAAGUCGAACGGCAGCACAGAGGAGCUUGCUCCUUGGGUGGCGAGUGGCGGACGGGUGAGGAAUACAUCGGAAUCUACUCUGUCGUGGGGGAUAACGUAGGGAAACUUACGCUAAUACCGCAUACGACCUACGGGUGAAAGCAGGGGAUCUUCGGACCUUGCGCGAUUGAAUGAGCCGAUGUCGGAUUAGCUAGUUGGCGGGGUAAAGGCCCACCAAGGCGACGAUCCGUAGCUGGUCUGAGAGGAUGAUCAGCCACACUGGAACUGAGACACGGUCCAGACUCCUACGGGAGGCAGCAGUGGGGAAUAUUGGACAAUGGGCGCAAGCCUGAUCCAGCCAUACCGCGUGGGUGAAGAAGGCCUUCGGGUUGUAAAGCCCUUCUGUUGGGAAAGAAAUCCAGCUGGCUAAUACCCGGUUGGGAUGACGGUACCCAAAGAAUAAGCACCGGCUAACUUCGUGCCAGCAGCCGCGGUAAUACGAAGGGUGCAAGCGUUACUCGGAAUUACUGGGCGUAAAGCGUGCUGUAGGUGGUCGUUUAAGUCCCGUUGUGAAAGCCCUGGGCUCAACCUUGGGAACUGCAGUGGAUACUUGGACGACUAGAGUGUUGGUAGAGGGUAGCGGAAUUCCUGGUGUAGGCAGUGAAAUGCGUAGAGAUCAGGAGGAACAUUCAAUGGCGAAAGGCAGGCUACCUGGACCAAACACUGACACUGAGGGCACGAA
rnacentral:rRNA from 1 species